AACGUGUCGCGAUGGAAGACUUGGCUUCCUAUUUCGUUGAAAAACGCAGCAAAGUGCGAUAAGUGGUAUCAAUUGCAGAAUCAUUUCAUUGCCCAAUCUUUGAACACA
rnacentral:rRNA from 1 species